UACAGAGGUCCCAAGCGUUGUUCGGAUUCAUUGGGCGUAAAGGGUGCGUAGGCGGCGCGGUAAGUCGGGAUGUGAAAUCUCGGAGCUUAACUCCGAAACUGCAUUCGAUACUGCCGUGCUUGAGGACUGGAGAGGAGACUGGAAUUUACGGUGUAAGCGGUGAAAUGCGUAGAUAUCGUAAGGAAGACCAGUGGCGAAGGCG
rnacentral:rRNA from 1 species